UACUGAAAGAGUUGUGAGAGCAAGGCUAGUACAGCUCCCUGGUUGUAGGCUACCACUUUUAUAGAUAUGAGGCUUAAACCAAACCAGGGUGUUUUAUUUUUGUGUCUCUUAUGGUUUUACAUUGGCCAAACAUGUGGUAUAAGCCUUGAAAUAGUGCAAAAAGAUGAGACAUCAUGAGGAAAGGUCUGAGAAUAUUCAAACUGGGACAAUUACUUUCGGCACAGGGAAUAUUUCACUGGGUCGAAAUCUGGAAUAUGAGAGACGAUAUGUUGGAGAAAACACUACAGACGAUGGCUCCGUUAACGUUCAAGCUGACGAUCCAGGCCUGGUGGGUGGACAAAGCGGCACUCAUGACUUUAGGGCCUGGGAUCGUAUGCGACCCAAGUUAUUAUGUACUAAUGACCUCAUGAAGUUCUCUGCACAAGGCCCUGGAUGUUCUUCACUCCAGUUAGACAGCGCAGGUGGCACCUCUCACUACACCAGCUACGUCGAGAGUGUGGCUACUCUGUGAAAAGGACUGCGGUGGGCCUCGUGCUUCUCGCCACUUUUGAUGGUUGUAAUGUUAUAAAACAGGGCAAUAGCCACUUGCUGCAGAUGUUGUGGCACGGCAAUCCAGUAACCCUCUCCUGCCCUGCAUCAAGCUCAGACUAAGCCUCUCUAGUUGUAUCCACUACUCCAGCUCCAACUACUGACGCACCUUCUACAGCUGCUGAGCUUCCUCCACAGAAUCAACAGUGGAUGCAUCCCCUCUUUGGAGGCUACUACCCUGUAAUGCCUGUGAAUAUCCCCCCUCAAACUACUGUUGCACCAACUACAGAAGCACCUACCACAGCGGCUGAGCCUCCUCCACAGAAUCAACAGUGGAUGAAUCCCCUCUUUGGAGGCUACUACCCUGUAAUGCCUGUGAAUAUUCCCCCUCAAACUACAGAAGCACCUACCACAGCGGCUGAGCCUCCUCCACAGAAUCAACAGUGGAUGAAUCCCCUCUUUGGAGGCUACUACCCUGUAAUGCCUGUGAAUAUUCCCCCUCAAACUACUGUUGCACCAACUACAGAAGCCCCUUCGGCAGCUGCUGAGCUUCCUCCACAGAAUCAACAGUGGAUGCAUCGUCGGUCUAGAGGCCACUGGAGUCAUGGGUCUAGAGGCUGCUGGGGGCAUCCUUAAGGUCGGUGAAGAAUCCCUCAAACUACUACUGCUCCAACUACAGAAGCACCUUCUACAGCCCCAACUUCAAAAACAAUGAACCACUUAUUACAGGUACUAUCAGUACCUUUUUCAACUGCACCCUAAAACAGUAGAUGCCCUACUCCAAACCUUUUAUUUUCCAACUCCGUCUUUAUUCCAAUGUGUCAUUUAAUGCGUGUAUUAAAAAGUGUAUUUGGAA